rnacentral:rRNA from 1 species
AUUGAACGCUGGCGGCAGGCCUAACACAUGCAAGUCGAGCGGAUGAGAGGAGCUUGCUUCUCGAUUCAGCGGCGGACGGGUGAGUAAUGCCUAGGAAUCUGCCUGGUAGUGGGGGACAACGUUUCGAAAGGAACGCUAAUACCGCAUACGUCCUACGGGAGAAAGCAGGGGACUUUCGGGCCUUGCGCUAUCAGAUGAGCCUAGGUCGGAUUAGCUAGUUGGUGAGGUAAUGGCUCACCAAGGCGACGAUCCGUAACUGGUCUGAGAGGAUGGAGGAGUCCCACUGGAACGGAGACAAGGUCCAGACUACUACGGGGGGUAGCAGUGGGGAAUAGUGGACAAUGGGCGAAAGCCUGAUCCAGCCAUGCCGCGUGUGUGAAGAAGGUCUUCGGAUUGUAAAGCACUUUAAGUUGGGAGGAAGGGUUGUAGAUUAAUACUCUGCAAUUUUGACGUUACCGACAGAAUAAGCACCGGCUAACUCUGUGCCAGCCGCCGCGGUAA